ACAAAAAACCGACAACGAUUCAAAGUCGACGCGACGGAACCGAUACUGGAACCUGGAAAAAGUCUGGAGUUGGUGGUAAAAGCUCGAAAUGGCCAUACAGCUGCAGGAUCUGCACCCACGAGGUCAAAUUAUUUGGGAAAAAUACCAAAUGGUUGUUUCGCGGCUAAAAAAGACCUCCCGUAAGAAAAACAAUGCACGAAAUCGGGCGGCAGGAACCGGCCCCGGUAAUGUGUCGGAUCUUCAGCGCCUCAUGUGACAUUGGGUGCAGGACUUGUUUAAACCGAAACCAGGGCAUCAAAUUUUUCGGGAAGAUCCAUGGAAGCAACCGACUCCGAUUAUGUUCCAGGUCUUCUACGCCGUCUUUUACGUUGGAGCAAGAUAAGUGCCUGGGAGGAACCUGUAAAAUGUACAUGUAUGUACAUGUCGAGGAAAAAGAAAAAAACACGGAAGUUGAAGAUGGUCCCGAUCCCCGAUUCCCGAGUUUAAAAACAUCCGCCGAAAAGAACUCUGAAAUUUGACCUAAGCGAGAAGAAAAUACGGAACCGUAGGCUCAAAUCAAAGCCGAGAUAAAUUUUGUGCUGGUAGCCGUUUGAAAUAAUAUAUUUUCCAACGAGCCGCCUUGGAUUAAUAUAGGAAUUACUUUUGAUUGAUGCCUUAAUUGAUGGCGAAUCCUGAACAUAACCCUCAGCAUUAAUCUUUCCACAAAAAGUUUGAUGUAAAAUGGUCAUUAUACAGGCAAUUCAAAUUAAUAUAG